rfam:Eutrema salsugineum unplaced genomic scaffold scaffold_19, whole genome shotgun sequence.
GAGCAAUGACGUCAAAACAAAAAUGGCGUGAGUUGCCUUGAAGGUUGGCAAUAACAAAUAGCGAUUCUCCGUGCCUAUCAAUCUUUCUAAUGUUGAUCGUGGCCUCGAACAAGUCGCUACAUU